CGUGAAAGUUGUUAGGGUUAAAUCGAAAUCAAAGUUACGCCGUGACGCAGAAAGAUUGAAACUAUUCAAAGAACAGAAAGCUAUGUCAAUGUUUCCAUGUGCGGAACUUAACACUAUUGAACUGAAGGACUUCGUUAAAACCUUAUAUUAUAAUAGAGAAUUCAUUGAUAGCGUUAGACUCAGGAACGACCGAGUGCAUUCAGUGAGAGUAAAAUUUGAAAUCAUAAGUGUUCAUUAUGAAAA
rnacentral:lncRNA from 1 species